rnacentral:rRNA from 1 species
AGAUUGAACGCUAGCGGGAUGCUUUACACAUGCAAGUCGAACGGCAGCGCGGACUUCGGUCUGGCGGCGAGUGGCGAACGGGUGAGUAAUAUAUCGGAACGUGCCCAGUAGCGGGGGAUAACUACGCGAAAGCGUGGCUAAUACCGCAUACGCCCUACGGGGGAAGGGGGGAUUCUUCGGAACCUCUCACUAUUGGAGCGGCCGAUAUCAGAUUAGCUAGUUGGUGAGGUAAAGGCUCACCAAGGCGACGAUCUGUAGCUGGUUUGAGAGGACGACCAGCCACACUGGGACUGAGCACGGCCCAGACUCCGUACGGGAGCAGCAGUGGGAAUUUGGACAAGUGGGGGAAACCCUGACUCCAGCCAUCCUGCGUGUGCGA